CGGNUGAUCCNGCCGGAGGNCACUGCUCCUUUGGUUCGAUUAAGCCAUGCGAGUCGAGAGGGUUCGGCCCUCGGCGUACUGCUCAGUAACACGUGGAUAACCUGCCCUAGGGAAGGGGAUAAUCCCGGGAAACUGGGGAUAAUACCCUAUAGGUUACAGAUGCUGGAAUGCUCUGUAAUCAAAAGUUCCGGCGCCCUAGGAUGGAUCUGCGGCCGAUUAGGUUGUUGUUGGGGUAAUGGCCCAACAAGCCAGUAAUCGGUACGGGUUGUGGGAGCAAGAGCCCGGAGUUGGAUUCUGAGACACGAAUCCAGGCCCUACGGGGCGCAGCAGGCGCGAAAACUUUACAAUGCGGGCAACCGUGAUAAGGGAACCUCGAGUGCCUGUAAAUGCAGGCUGUUCAGAUGCCUAAAACACAUCUGGAGAAAGGGCCGGGCAAGACCGGUGCCAGCCGCCGCGGUAAUACCGGCGGCUUCGAGUGGUGGCCUCUUUUAUUGGGCUUAAAGCGUUCGAAGCUGGGUUGUUAAGUCUC
rnacentral:rRNA from 1 species